UGAUGAUUCACGAUAAAGUAUAGAAUGAAACGCAUCGUAAACAUAUAGAACAAAACAACUUUCCUUGAUUUUUCAGACGAUCAAUUCAUUAAAGCAUCGUUUGAGGAAGCAAAGCAAUACUUCAAAAUUUUAAUUGAAAACCCUUUGGACCUGAGGCCGGAGAUACAAUCUCACAAGUAUUGCGUUACAAACCAGUUGGCCGACCAAUGCACUGAAAACGCGAAUCUGCACCUGGAGAUCCGGAAGCUCAACAGGCUGCUCAGGUCGGCGGAGGAGGAACAAGAAAAAGAGCGCUCCCAGUGGCGACGGGCACUCGAGGAACGCGAGAGGACAAUCGCCACACUCCGCGACAACAUCUACUAUUUCAUAAGGAAGCUUAAGUUUAAGAGGAACCCAGGGGUCGGCCUAGGCGGUGUCAUCAAACGGACGCGCUUCAAACGCAACAUCAAGAACAUUCUAUCGAGCAACACGAGCAACAUGUGCAACAUCCGCUUGUUCGCCGGGAAGCUGAUAAGUCCGGAUAGCAGUAACGUCAACUAUCAUUUUUACUAUAAGAACAAGUUCGAGGGAAGCAACGCGGAUUUCCAGAGUUCUUUCCAAGUCCCUUCCGAGAGCUCUCAGGCGACUCUCAUGCCGCUGACUCUCCACCAUUCAAUUGAUCAGGCGUGUUCGCACCGAGCCAUCCUACAAGAGCGUGACACCUCCGAGUGUGCGAGUAGGACUCAUUCGCUACUGGAAUCGCUGCCUCGCGCCUCGGACGACGAGGAGGAAUCCUGUCACUGCGACGCCUCCGAGUCGAGCGCUCCCGAAACGACCGGCGCGGAUUUCUCACGCGACCACGGUCUUCCGAGGAAGAAACAGGAUCGCACCAAGCACUCGAUAGUCUGCCGGCGAGGCGGCCCGCAGUCCAGAGAACCGCAGAGGGUAGGGAGUCUGUCCAAGGGAGACGCCGGGAACUUCGGCUGGAAGCGGAGGACGAAGCCCUGCGAGGUGUCUGAUGAAGAAAGUUCCUGUGCAGGGACGUCCAUUUCGGAGGACUUUCUAGACGGCAACACUGAUUAUUCAAGCCAGCGACACGCAUACCAAUGUCAUUACACUGACUCUGACAAAACCUUAACAGAGGAUAGUGAUCAUGGAAGCGAAGAGAGGGGCGAAGAAGCAUCAAAAAGGUUUUUGCUGAGGGAUUCUUUCGAGCCCUUUGACAUUGACGAUAUCCCUCAAAUACUAGCAGCCAGCUUUCCGAGUAGGGAACUGACGAUGAGUCCUCAGGCAGCGAAUGAAACCAAUUUGCCGAGUGAGUUUUUUUCGAAACAGAUGGAGAAACCUCAGUAUGCAACGGUUCACUCACGACUUAGAGCAUGUUUGUCAACAGUGCAAGAGAUGUCAAAUGAAUCAGAUUUGUCUCAGAGAGAAUUGACUCGAUCGAGGGCUAUCCAAAGGGUUACCCAUCUUUAUCUAAAGUAGAGUGCCCCAAGAACUUGUGGGUGAGGAGACAGAGACAGAGGAUGAAGAAUCAGAAGAGUUAGAAUCGAUUUUGGGUUCAGAAGUCGAUCAAACAGCGUUUAAUAAGUUCCUCGAAGGGUUAAUUAACAUCGAUAAUUUUCCUCUGAGAACAGAAUCAGCACCUGCUAAGUUGCAAUCGGUGUCUCCCGAUCUUUUCUUGUAACUUAAUUUGUACCUGUUACCUGUAAUUGUUUACACCCCGUUAGCGAAAUUGCUUGAUUCGGAGACUGCGGGCUGAUUGUUAAAAUUGAUAGACAAAGAAGACAUAGAGAGUAUGGAGUGAUCCUAUUGGUUGAAAUGGGUUCUUAUAGACUGAGGGAGGAAAUAUUGGUAUGGGGUCUCUCGUGGGUUGCCGUUAGUCUAUUACUUAUCUCCUUUGUUCAUUGCAACCACCCGCUUCCACCAACAGGAUCCCUCCAUACCAUAGCCUUUUUGUCAUCUUUAUCUAUCGCUUUGUCUACCAAUUUCAACAAUCACUCCACCAGUCUGAAAAUUACGCCAACCUCUCCAAUCGACGUCGUGGUCGUUAACUUUAAAUGCAAUCCAUACGCUGAUCGAUGAAUGCCCUCUGCUGACCGAGUUCUAACUAAUUAUUCGCGAGAUUUUGAACGAAACUUUAAAAUAUCAAAACAAUUUACAAUAAUUUGUAAAAAAUUUACGACUCAUUUUUCUUAUGUUUCACAAAAGUUCUUCAUACAAAUUUACGAGUUUUUUUUUUAAUUUUCAACAAUUGUCAACGUUUUAAAAUGCAUGUUUCAUAUUUACAAAUUGAAGGCGCUGCCACUUUACAUAGAUAGAACUGACAACGUGUUGAAAUCGGUCAGUGGGGGGCAAUGGGGCAUUCGUCGAUUAGCGUAUAAAUUGCAGCAAAAAUUAAAAUUUCAUGGGCGUAAUUUUCAGACUUCAGACCGGCCACUCCGCGCGCUGGCCGCCCAAUUCACAGACUGGGCAAUAACAUCGGCCGGUCCGGAGACUGAGAAACGAGGAUGGCCAAUCCGCGGACGAGGUAACAAAUUUGUUGAGUCCGCGAACUGAGCAAUUUAGCCAACAGGGUGUAUCAUACCAAAUGCUUAAUUUUACGUCAGAGUAUUCACUUGGGUAUUCCCUAGAUUUUAAACCAAACGCAUUAUUACAUCACUACGUUUUGUGAUUUAGAAUUUUAGAAAAACAAUUUGUAAAUAAUGACAAGGUGAAAAAAAUGCUUGAUAACUUGGAUGAUUGAUUCCUAUGUCCUUUAUUGUUUUACGUUCUCUUCCUGAACAAAUGCUUGUCUCCUCGAACAUUUCAUUUUCUUAAAAACUCCCAGCAAUUUAGGAUGCUUGUGAUAAGUUUAUUUACUGAUAAAGAAAUUGUCAAAUCUAUAGAUUUUUGUAAGAAUCGAUUCUGUAAAUAUAGUGAGGACACACAUGAAGAUACCUUUAAGUUAGAAGCUAAUUAAAC
rnacentral:lncRNA from 1 species